CCUACGGGGGGCUGCAGUGGGGAAUAUUGGACAAUGGGGGCAACCCUGAUCCAGCCAUGCCGCGUGUGUGAAGAAGGCCCUCGGGUUGUAAAGCACUUUCAGUGAGGAAGAACGCCUGGUGGUUAAUACCCAUCAGGAAAGACAUCACUCACAGAAGAAGCACCGGCUAACUCCGUGCCAGCAGCCGCGGUAAUACGGAGGGUGCGAGCGUUAAUCGGAAUUACUGGGCGUAAAGCGCGCGUAGGUGGCUUGAUAAGCCGGUUGUGAAAGCCCCGGGCUCAACCUGGGAACGGCAUCCGGAACUGUCAAGCUAGAGUGCAGGAGAGGAAGGUAGAACUCCCGGUGUAGCGGUGAAAUGCGUAGAGAUCGGGAGGAAUACCAGUGGCGAAGGCGGCCUUCUGGACUGACACUGACACUGAGGUGCGAAAGCGUGGGUAGCAAACAGGAUUAGAUACCCCUGUAGUC
rnacentral:rRNA from 1 species